rnacentral:rRNA from 1 species
GAAUUCACUAGUGAUUCAGGCCUAACACAUGCAAGUCGAACGAACUGAUAAGGAGCUUGCUCCCUUGAAGUUAGUGGCGGACGGGUGAGUAACGCGUGGGUAACCUGCCCUAUGCAGGGGGAUAACGUUUGGAAACGAACGCUAAUACCGCAUAAACUAUGGUUGUUCGCAUGAACAAUAUAGCAAAGAUUUAUCGGCAUAGGAUGGACCCGCGUUGGAUUAGCUAGUUGGUGAGAUAACAGCCCACCAAGGCGACGAUCCAUAGCCGGCCUGAGAGGGUGAACGGCCACAUUGGGACUGAGACACGGCCCAAACUCCUACGGGAGGCAGCAGUGGGGAAUAUU